rnacentral:SRP_RNA from 10 species
GCUGGGUGUAGUGGCACACACCUGUAGUCCCAGCUGUUUGGGAGGCUAAGGCAGGAGGAUGGCGUGAGACCAGGAGUUCUGGGAGCUAUGCUGAUUGGGUGUCCACACUAAGUUCAGCAUCAAUAUAGUGACUUCUCGGGAGUGGGGGACCACCAGGUUGCCUAAGAAGGAGGAGAGCCAGCCCAGGUUGGAAAUGAAGCAGGUGGAAACAUCUGUGCUGAUCAGUAGUGGGAGUAUGCCUGUGAAUAGCCACUGCACUCUAGCUUGGGCAAUGUUGCAUGACCCCUUCU